UACGUAGGUGGCAAGCGUUAUCCGGAAUUAUUGGGCGUAAAGCGUGCGCAGGCGGUUUUGUAAGCCAGAUGUGAAAUCCCCGGGCUUAACCUGGGAAUGGCAUUUGGGACUGCAAGGCUUGAGUGCGGCAGAGGAGACUGGAAUUCCUGGUGUAGCAGUGAAAUGCGUAGAUAUCAGGAGGAACACCGAUGGCGAAGGCAGGUCUCUGGGCUGACACUGACGCUCAUGCACGAAAGCGUGGGGAGCAAACAGG
rnacentral:rRNA from 1 species